rnacentral:pre_miRNA from 33 species
AAUAUCUGUUCAUGUGACCCGUGGACUUCCCUUUGUCAUCCUAUGCCUGAGAAUAUAUGAAGGGGGCUGGGAAGGCAAAGGGACGUUCAACUGUCAUCACUGGC